rnacentral:rRNA from 1 species
AAGAGACAGCAGUCGCCGCGGGAAUACGUAGGUCCCGAGCGUUGUCCGGAUUCAUUGGGCGUAAAGCGAGCGCAAGCGGUUAGAUAAGUCUGAAGUUAAAGGCUGUGGCUUAACCAUAGUACGCUUUGGAAACUGUUUAACUUGAGUGCAAGAGGGGAGAGUGGAAUUCCAUGUGUAGCGGUGAAAUGCGUAGAUAUAUGGAGGAACACCGGUGGCGAAAGCGGCUCUCUGGCUUGUAACUGACGCUGAGGUUCGAAAGCGUGAGGAGCAAACAGGAUUAGAUACCCCCGUAGUCCCUGUCUCUUAUACA